rnacentral:snRNA from 1 species
AGAUAUAAGAGUGAUCUGGUUGCAACAUUUGUUACCCAUUGAUCACUAUGGUUGAUGUGGUUGACCUGGGUGGCUAGAUGGGUAUCCACUUUCUCCCUCACUGCUCUAUAUGUGGCCCAAUAGAAGAAGACUCUUCCUCUGUCAGUAGUAUAUGAGAAACUGCACUCUCUAGCUACAACCUCCAAAUGGUGUCCAAUGUAUGUAAACAAGAUAAUUAAGACAAUUAUAUUGGGCUCUGGGUAUAGCUCAUGCCUAGCAU